rnacentral:rRNA from 1 species
UACGUAGGGGGGCAAGCGUUGUCCGGAAUCAUUGGGCGUAAAGAGCGUGUAGGCGGCCCGAUAAGUCCGCUGUGAAAGUCCAGGGCUCAACCCUGGGAUGCCGGUGGAUACUGUCGGGCUCGAGUCCGGAAGAGGAGUGUGGAAUUCCUGGUGUAGCGGUGAAAUGCGCAGAUAUCAGGAGGAACACCGGUGGCGAAGGCGGGUCUCUGGGCCGAUACUGACGCUGAGGAGCGAAAGCGUGGGGAGCGAACAGG